rnacentral:rRNA from 1 species
UACGUAGGGUGCGAGCGUUGUCCGGAAUUAUUGGGCGUAAAGAGCUCGUAGGCGGUGUGUCACGUCGGCCGUGAAAACCUGUGGCUUAACUGUGGGCGUGCGGUCGAUACGGGCAUCACUGGAGUUCGGCAGGGGAGACUGGAAUUCCUGGUGUAGCGGUGAAAUGCGCAGAUAUCAGGAGGAACACCAGUGGCGAAGGCGAGUCCCUGGACGAUACCUGACACUGAGGCACGAAAGCCAAGGGAGCAAACAGG